UACAGAGGGGGCAAGCGUUGUUCGGAAUUACUGGGCGUAAAGGGCGCGUAGGCGGCCUGCUAAGUCGAACGUGAAAUCCCCGAGCUCAACUCGGGAACUGCGUCCGAUACUGGCAGGCUUGAAUCCGGGAGAGGGAUGCGGAAUUCCAGGUGUAGCGGUGAAAUGCGUAGAGAUCUGGAGGAACACCAGUGGCGAAGGCGGCAUCCUGGACCGGAAUUGACGCUGAGGCGCGAAAGCCAGGGGAGCAAACGGG
rnacentral:rRNA from 1 species